rnacentral:rRNA from 1 species
GACGAACGCUGGCGGCGUGCUUAACACAUGCAAGUCGAACGGUGAAGCGCCUUCCUUUUUGGUGGGUGUGGAUGAGUGGCGAACGGGUGAGUAACACGUGAGUAACCUGCCCCCUUCUUCUGGAUAACCGCAUGAAAGUGUGGCUAAUACGGGAUAUUCUGGGUCUGUCGCAUGAUGGGUCUGGGAAAGAUAUUGUUUCGGUGGGGGAUGGGCUCGCGGCCUGUCAGCUUGUUGGGGGGGUGAUGGCCUACCAAGGCGGUGACGGGUAGCCGGCCUGAGAGGGUGGACGGUCACACUGGGACUGAGACACGGCUCAGACUCCUACGGGAGGCAGCAGUGGGGAAUAUUGCACAAUGGGCGCAAGCCUGAUGCAGCGACGCCGCGUGAGGGAUGGAGGCCUUCGGGUUGUGAACCUCUUUCGCCAGUGAAGCAGGCCUGCCUCGUUUGUGGGUGGGUUGACGGUAGCUGGAUAAGAAGCGCCGGCUAACUACGUG